rnacentral:rRNA from 1 species
AGCGAACGCUGGCGGCAGGCCUAAUACAUGCAAGUCGAGCGCACCUUCGGGUGAGCAGCGGACGGGUGAGUAACGCGUGGGAACGUGCCCUUUGGUACGGGAUAACUGAGGGAAACUUCAGCUAAUACCGUAUGUGCCCUACGGGGGAAAGAUUUAUCGCCAUUGGAGCGGCCCGCGUUGGAUUAGCUAGUUGGUGAGGUAAAGGCUCACCAAGGCUACGAUCCAUAGCUGGUCUGAGAGGAUGAUCAGCCACACUGGGACUGAGACACGGCCCAGACUCCUACGGGAGGCAGCAGUAGGGAAUCUUGCGCAAUGGGCGAAAGCCUGACGCAGCCAUGCCGCGUGAAUGAUGAAGGUCUUAGGAUUGUAAAAUUCUUUCACCGGGGAAGAUAAUGACGGUACCCGGAGAAGAAGCCCCGGCUAACUUCGUGCCAGCCGCCGCCGUAACAC